rnacentral:rRNA from 1 species
AGAGUUUGAUCCUGGCUCAGGAUGAACGCUAGCGGCGUGCCUAACACAUGCAAGUCGAACGUGAGAGGGUACUUGUAUCCUUGAAAGUGGCGGACGGGUGAGUAAGACGUAGGUGACCUGCCUUGAAGAGGGGGAUAACCAUUGGAAACGAUGGCUAAUACCGCAUGAGUUGGUAAUGAUGGGAAUGUUACCAACAAAGUUUCGGCGCUUUGAGAGGGGCCUACGGCCGAUUAGUUAGUUGGUGGGGUAAAGGCCUACCAAGGCGAUGAUCGGUAGCUGGUCUGAGAGGACGAUCAGCCACACGGGAACUGAGACACGGUCCCGACUCCUACGGGGGGCAGCAGUGAGGAAUAUUCGGCAAUGGGGGGAACCCUGACCGAGCAACGCCGCGUGGAGGAAGACGGUUUUCGGAUUGUAAACUCCUUUUCUGUGGGAAGAGCAAGGACGGUACCACAGGAAUAAGUCACGGCUAA